rnacentral:rRNA from 1 species
AUGCUGCAAAAUUUAGGAUUCUCGCUCAGGUGGCACAACUGGAUCUCCGUCCUCUUGGCCUCGUCGUCGUCUGCCGUCCUCCUCAAUGGAAUCCCAUGCCAAAUGAUAAAGCAUAUGCGAGGUCUGCGGCAGGGGGACACUCUGUCCCCGUUCUUGUUCAUCUUGGCGAUCAACACUCUACAUCGUAUCCUUGAGAUGGCACAAAACUCUGGACUCCUAACACCACUUCCUGGUAGA